AGAGUUUGAUCCUGGCUCAGAACGAACGCUGGCGGCGUGCCUAACACAUGCAAGUCGAGCGCGAAAGGGGGGGCAACUCCCCGAGUAGAGCGGCGCACGGGGAGUAACGCGUGGGUAACCUACCUCCGGGCGGGGGAUAACCACUCGAAAGGGUGGCUAAUACCGCAUGAGACCACGGGGUCUUCAGGAUCCUGGGGCCAAAGGUGGCACCGGCUUGCCGGUGCUGUCACCUGGAGAUGGGCCCGCGUACGAUUAGCUAGUUGGUAGGGUAACGGCCUACCAAGGCUGCGAUCGUUAGCUGGUCUGAGAGGAUGACCAGCCACACUGGAACUGGAACACGGUCCAGACUCCUACGGGAGGCAGCAGUGAGGAAUAUUGCGCAAUGGGGGAAACCCUGACGCAGCAACGCCGCGUGGGUGAAGAAGGCCCUAGGGUUGUAAACCCCUUUCAGCGGGGAAGAUAAUGACGGUACCCGCAGAAGAAGCCCCGGCUAACUCCGUGCCAGCAGCCGCGGUAAUACGGAGGGGGCUAGCGUUGUUCGGAAUUACUGGGCGUAAAGCGCGCGUAGGCGGACCUGCAAGUCGGGGGUGAAAGCCCGAGGCUCAACCUCGGAACUGCCUUCGAUACUGCGGGUCUCGAGUCCGGGAGAGGUGAGUGGAAUUCCUAGUGUAGAGGUGAAAUUCGUAGAUAUUAGGAAGAACACCAGUGGCGAAGGCGGCUCACUGGCCCGGUACUGACGCUGAGGCGCGAAAGCGUGGGGAGAAACAGGAUUAGAUACCCUGGUAGUCCACGCCGUAAACGAUGGGCACUAGGUGUCGCGGGUAUUGACCCCUGCGGUGCCGAAGCUAACGCAUUAAGUGCCCCGCCUGGGGAGUACGGUCGCAAGACUAAAACUCAAAGGAAUUGACGGGGGCCCGCACAAGCGGUGGAGCAUGUGGUUUAAUUCGACGCAACGCGAAGAACCUUACCAAAUCUUGACAUCCCGUACCCCAUGGAAACUUGGGGGUCAGUUCGGCUGGAUCGGAGACAGGUGCUGCAUGGCUGUCGUCAGCUCGUGUCGUGAGAUGUUGGGUUAAGUCCCGCAACGAGCGCAACCCUUGUCCUUAGUUGCCAUCAUUUAGUUGGGCACUCUAAGGAGACUGCCGGUGUUAAACCGGAGGAAGGUGGGGAUGACGUCAAGUCCUCAUGGCCCUACGGGUAGGGCUACACACGUGCUACAAUGGUGGUGACAGUGGGCAGCGACACAGUGAUGUGAUGCUAAUCUCUAAAAGCCAUCUCAGUUCAGAUUGUACUCUGCAACUCGAGUACAUGAAGUUGGAAUCGCUAGUAAUCGUAGAACAGCAUGCUACGGUGAAUACGUUCCCGGGCCUUGUACACACCGCCCGUCACACCAUGGGAGUUGGUUUUACCUGAAGACGGUGUUCUAACCCGCAAGGGAGGAAGCCGGCCACGGUAAGGUCAGCGACUGGGGUGAAGUCGUAACAAGGUAACC
rnacentral:rRNA from 1 species